GAUGAACGCUAGCUACAGGCUUAACACAUGCAAGUCGAGGGACCGGCGCACGGGUGAGUAACACGUAUCCAACCUGCCCUUUACUCGGGGAUAGCCUUUCGAAAGAAAGAUUAAUACCCGAUAUAAAGGAUGGGGAUGCGUUCCAUUAGGUUGUUGGUGAGGUAACGGCUCACCAAGCCUUCGAUGGAGAGGGGUUCUGAGAGGAAGUCACCCUAGAUUGGAGCUGAGGCACGGUCCAAACUCGGACGUAAGGGAGAGGUAAGGAAUACAAGGGAAUGAGGUCUGGCCUGAACCAGCCGAGUGGGGUAAGGGAGGAAGGCUUAUGGAUCGUAAAUUACUUGUAUAUAAGAGUAUGUAUUAUAUGAAUAAGGAUCGGCUAACUCCGUGCCAGCAGCCGCGGUAAUAC
rnacentral:rRNA from 1 species